AGAAGCGCCUCCUCGCUGUGCGGUCAUGUGACGGAGGCCGGAAGGCAGGUCCGACAGCCUCUGGGGAAGGAAAGCCCAGAGUAGCUGAGGAACUGGGGGGCCCACACCGGCCUGCUGGGGGCUUCAAAUGUUCUUUUAGGAGUGACAAGGGAAUCGGCCUGUCCAGCUCUGCAGCCCUGGGGGCCACAGAGGACAGGGGCACAGCCGGAGCCUCUGCUCAGGGCUCCGGCCUCCAUCUCUGGGAGCGAGCACCCGUGGAUGCCUCACUCUACCCAGGGUCACUGUCGCGCAGCAGCAGCUUUCCAGAAGGCAGCCGGCCAUUGACGAGUGACCAGGUGGAGACGGUGAAGGCCAGAAGCUCCGCCAGAGGCCGCGUGCCAGCCCCUCGCCUGUGAGGGGGGGCCUGGGUCUCCGGGCUCCCCAGGACGGUGAUUCCCCCUGCAGGUCUCGGUUUCCUAGGACAUGGAGUGGGGACGGACGUGGCUCCUCACCUCACAAGAUUGCGGAGGCACGUGAAGCCGAUGGUCCUGAGCAUCUGGACAAGUGCCCAGCCCAGAGUAAGCGCUUAGCAAAUCCGAGUGAUUCGGCAGCACCACUGAGCCUCAGUUUCCUCAUCUGCAAGACAGGGUUACGCUUUCCUUACAGGGAGGAGGGUUCCGUGGGGUCAUCAGGUCUACAGCUUCACUCCUGAAGCCAGAGAGACCAGGAGCCCAGCGGGAGGAACGAACAACUCCAGACGCGCCACCUUAAGAGCUGUGACACUCGCCGCAAGGGUCCAUGGCUUCAUUCUUGAGGCUGGAGUGCAGCGGCGCAAUCUCGGCUCACUGCAACCUUCGCCUCCCGGGUUCAAGCGAUUCUCAUGCCUCAGCUUCCCUGGUAGCUGGGACUACAGGCUGGAGUGUAAUGGCGCGAUCUUGGAUCACUGCAACCUCUGUCUCCCAGUUCAAGCGAUUCUCCUGCCUCAGCCUCCUGAGUAGUUGGGAUUACAGGUGCCUGCCACCACACCCAACUAAUUUUUGUAUUUUUAGUGGAGACGGAGUUUCAUCAUGUUAGCCAGGAUGCCCUGGAACUCCUGACCUCAGGUGAUCCACUUACCUCAGCCUUCCAACGUACUGGAAUUACAGAUGCCCCCUGGAUGGGUAUUUAUGGCUACUGUCCUUAGAUUAAAGCAGAAGGCCCAUGGGGUUCAUGGACCAUCUGUACAAGAAUCACCCGCUUUAGGAAAAACAGAUUCAAGGGCCUAGCCUAGCCCUGAGGAAAAAUCUCCAAUGAAAGCCUGAGCACCGCACUAGAGCUGCAUCACUCCCCAGCAGCAGGGUCCUGAAGGCCAGGCAGAUGUCCCCACCCCACAAACCAGAUGAAGUCAAAGUGGGAACCAACUUGGGACCAUUUAACCCGGAUGUCAGGCCGGAGCCUGCGGGUGAGGGUAACAGCAUCGCCAAGACUGUGAAGCAGGUUUGUGCCAGGUGCACCUCAUUUAGUCCAAACCACCAGCCUGCCAGACAGGUAUUCGAGUUCUACUUUACAACUGAGGGGACAAACUCUCAAGACACAGGCCAAGUGCCUCGUUCUGGUUACAGAGCUGGUGAGGGUGAGUGAGGGCAGCCUGCACAGUCCAUUCCCUCUCUGUAAUGCCACAGACCUGACCUAGAAGCCUCUCUGGAGGCUGCCACAGAGAACGCAAAGCUAAAAGCAGGCACCAGGACACUCACAGGUGGGCAGGGCCAUGUGGAGGGGACCACUGGCUCAGCCAUGUCACUGUGCCACAGGACUCACACUUUUGCCCAAACAAGAGGCCGGGAUUGUGGGUGUCAUUGUGUAACUGGGGUUCUACCUGUCCCUGAGGAGCUCAAUUUGGCCUCUAUCCCUGUGUUGCCAUCUGAAGCACCAAUUACCAGUGUGAUAUGUGUGUCCGGAAAAGCCAAGCAAAACACGGCCUGGCUUAGUCUGCACCCCCCCGUUUCCUGAGUUAUGCGGAGCAGAAACAAAUGAAACUGCCUGUGCCUGCCGCUGUAGCACAUGCCCCAGAAGGGCUGCGUGGGCAUCCCUGGGGCCCCUUCUUGUCAUCCAGGCUCUUUGCCUGCCCUGAUUUGGAGGUGGCUCAAGCCCCGCCAUCUCCUCCCUGGGCAGGUGGGAGCGACUGUGCAUUCCAGCCGGAUAUCCUGACAGCUCUGGUGUCAGGGGAUGCAGGCUGAGCUGACCCCUUCCAUCUACCAUUGUAAUCGACCCCAAAAAAGGAACUUGGAGGGGCUCACAUGCCAGUAGUACAUUCCUCCGGGGCUGCUGCCUGACAGGGAGUGGGGGUGUUAUCUCCCUGAGUACAGCUGAUAGUGCCUUAUGGAGAGAUGUCACAUGCCACCUCAAUGGAGGAUCAACGCAGAGAAUUUGAGGUCAAGGGUUUAGGCCGAAUGAUUUCUAUUUAUAAAAAGGAGUGUCCAGGGGGAAGCAGAGGGGUAGAAGACUGGCUUGGCCUGGGUGCCAGUUGGCAGGAUGACAGUCAAGGGCAGAAUGGAGCCUGCAGCGCUUCAGGUACAUCUCUCCCUUUACAGCUAAGCCCUCCGCCACAAGCGUCUCCUGUCAGAGCUUGAGUUCCUUUGUCUCUAGACUAGCACGAGCCCACGUGGGAGAAACGUGCCCUGUGACUGGUUGUGAAUGUCAUGGGGACUGUCCUCCCACUUCACCUGUGAACACAGGGUGGAGAAGGUGACAGGCUCUUCAAUUCUCAAGGACCAAAAAGAGCACACAUUAAAUUUUUGGAGACCCCAGCCCUUUGUGAGAGGCAGAGCUCCUAGAUAACGGACCGUACAGACAGCCCCUCCCUUUCCUAACUGCACAGAGCGCAGGGUGACAGUCAUCCAGAGACACCACGGAUCUAAUUCCAGCUCUUGGCUCUGCUGGCAUCUGGUUGAGGGACGGAUUUCUGAAACGCAACAGUGCUAUACAAUGAGAUUCCUCUUCUCAUGAGCUUAAGAAAUCACCAAGCACAAAGCCAGGUGGGCGUCCAGCCUCUAUCUGAAUCCUCCGGAGCCAGAGUCCCCAGGAUGGAGGCUGGGAAUGUGUACUUGACAACUCUGCAGGUGACCCUGGGGCACAGGCGAGAUGGGGACCUUCAGACCAGGUGGUGACACAGUGGAGACCUCACCAUGGUCUACUGUCCCCACAUAAGCCAUCAGAACCAAAGAGGUCACACUGUCUGCAACAUGAUGAAUGUCAUGUCAAACUUUUAUUAAAACAUUAAAAAAUAAUACAACCUGCCAAUAUGUAAAACUCUAAAAAAAAUCCCAACUUCCCCCCUGCUCAUGACCCAAGCCAAAGCACCGUCAGAUUCUGGGCCUGAAAGAGAAAUUCUUACAUCUGUUUUCAAUGCGAGACGGUCCUUGUUUGAUGGCAACUAUCUAGGAUGUUACACGCCUCAAAGAUACUGCAUUAAAGAUAAAGAAGCACUCUAGUAAAACCGCAGUGAUGAGCUCUGGGCCGUGCUAGCAAACACUGUUGUCAAAUCCAGCAUCGUUCUGCUAGUGUUGUCUGGCAAAAGCAAUGUCUUCACACUUCCUGGGUCUACCCAAGGGCUAUCUGCACUGUGGUUAGUAGACACUGGGUAGGUGUGGCUACCAAUGUCACUGCCACAUACACAAUAUAAAGGCUGUCUUCUCAAGUAACUGGCCCCCUCCUCUCUGGAGUAGGACAAGCAGCACCCAAGAGCCACAUGGAGAUGAGCGGACAAGGCCGGCUAAGGGGCAGCACUGUCCUGCCUCACGCUGGCUACUAUUGUACUGUGCUGAAAAGCACUAUGGCUGCUUCUGAAACUCAACUGCUGCUGACAUGAGUGGCUUCCUCUGCCUCCACUCAAUCGCAGAGUGCGUCCUUGGAUGGUCCUGAUACACAAUGGCAAAAAGAACAUGGAGAGGAGAUAACCGAGUUUCGGCCUCAAAAAGAUGACCCACCAGCAUUCAACAUCUUCCCUACGUGGAGGGCGCUAGGUCCAAGUGAGACCACGGCACAUUCGAUGCUGUUUAUCAACACUGACGCUGGUGACUUCUGAUGCCAUCCUUGAAGACACAGUGUUCUGGCGGAUGGAGGCUCUGCUGGCUUCUCAGAGCCACAGAAACGGGGCAAUCUCCUUGGCUGUGAUCUGAAAAAACCCACAUACGUUCUAUACGGAAACAGACAGUUUAAUAGUGGCAGGGAAAACCCAACAUGAAAUAUAAAACAAGUAAUCAUGCAUCUCGUGAGUUCUGGUUUCUGUUCCUUCUUUCUGGGUGUAUGUGUUUUGAUGGCAACGUCGGUCUCAACAGCCUGCUCCAACAUUUCUCGGUGAAGAAGCUGAGGGUGCGGUUGGUCCCAGGGACCGAAAGGCCUGCUGACACCACCUCAGCUUCGCCAGCCACCAAAACCCUGGACAGACCUGCAAGGAAGCACAGGAGAGUGGUGGAGUCAGCUGCUCUGUCACAAAGCAGUCACAGGCUCUGCUGCUCUGCCUGUGUGCAAAGGAUGCUGCUUAAGAGUUCAUUGGCAAAAACAGUUUUUGAAAACUACUAGACUUGGAUUUCUAAGAUCCAGGAUUCUACAUCCCUCCUGGCAGACUGAAACCUAAAGAACAAAAACUUCUGAUUAUAUAAUUUCACGAGUUAAAAGGAGCUGAAUUUUAAGGAAAAUUCGGAGAGUACUAUCCAAAUGAAGUCUGCAUGCUCUCCUCCCAGCAUCCUCGGCUUGCUCUGCUGCCGCUCAUUUAUGCUUGUCUGCUUGCAUUCACAUCAAGUCACUCCAAUACUAAGAAACAGAGCGAUUUGGGCCUUGGGAGAGAAGAGGGGAGCAGCUCAAUACACAGAUCCUCUCCCUGCAGCUCUGAUGUCUUUUCAUGAUUAUGCAGGACAUCUCAUUAAAAAACCAAAAAUAAAAAAGCAAAACAGA